UUUCUCCUACGGGGCGCAGCAGUGGGGAAUAUUGCACAAUGGGGGAAACCCUGAUGCAGCAACGCCGCGUGAGUGAAGAAGUAUUUCGGUAUGUAAAGCUCUAUCAGCAGGGAAGAAGAAAGACGGUACCUGACUAAGAAGCCCCGGCUAACUACGUGCCAGCAGCCGCGGUAAUACGUAGGGGGCAAGCGUUAUCCGGAUUUACUGGGUGUAAAGGGAGCGUAGACGGCUGUGCAAGUCUGAAGUGAAAUCCCGUGGCUCAACCGCGGAACUGCUUUGGAAACUGAAUAGCUUGCGUAAUGGUG
rnacentral:rRNA from 1 species